CGUGCUCUACCGUGAAAAGGCAGCAGGCAUGUACUCCACCAUGGCCUACGCCAUUGCUCAGGUAACAACACACUUCACUGAUGGAUCUGUUUGUUUUGGCCUUCUAGGUAAAUCAACUGUUCUGAAUGCAGAAAGCUUAUUGCACGAAUUAUGAACCGAGCUCUGGCUUUAUGUGUUGCAGGUGUCGGUGGAGUUACCUUACAUGCUGGUGCAGGUGCUGAUCUUCUCGUCGAUCGUGUACCCGAUGAUCGGGUUCGAGCUGACGGCGGGCAAGUUCUUGUGGUUCUUCCUGUACCUGGUGAUGAGCUUCAUGUACUACACGCUGUACGGGAUGAUGACGGUGGCGCUGACCCCCAACAUCGAGAUCGCCAUGGGGCUGUCGUUCCUCAUCUUCAUCUUCUGGAACGUCUUCUCCGGCUUCAUCAUCUCCAGAGAGGUGCCAACUUUUUACUUUUCUUCUCCCCCCUAAAAUUGAUUGAGAAAUUAACGGAUCGAAUUACCUGACGAACGGAAAUGGGAACUGGUUGCCGCAGCUCAUGCCCUUGUGGUGGCGGUGGGUGUACUGGGCGGACCCGGCGUCGUGGACGGUGUACGGGCUGAUGUUCACGCAGCUGGGCGACCGGACGGAGCAGAUCCUGGUGCCGGGGGUCGGGAUGCAGACGGUGCGCGAGUUCCUGGAGGGGUACCUGGGCCUGCAGGACCGCUACUUCGAGCUCGUCACCUGCCUCCACCUCGCCAUCAUCGGCCU
rnacentral:lncRNA from 1 species